AUUGAACGCUGGCGGCGGGCUUAACACAUGCAAGUCGAGCGAGCGGCGGACGGGUGAGCAAUGUCUGGAAAACUGCCUGAUGGAGGGGGAUAACUCCUGGAAAUGGUAGCUAAUACCGCAUACCAUCAGAUGUGCCCAGAUGGGAUUAGCUAGUAGGUGGGGUAAUGGCUCACCUAGGCGACGCUCCCUAGCUGGUCUGAGAGGAUGGCCAGCCACACUGGAACUGAGACACGGUCCAGACUCUUACGGGAGGCAGCAGUGGGGAAGAUUGCACAAGGGGCGAAAGCCUGAUGCAGCCAUGCCGCGUGUGUGAAGAAGGCCUUCGGGUUGUAAAGCACUUUCAGCGAGGAGGCGUUACUCGCAGAAGAAGCACCGGCUAACUCCGUGCCAGCCGCCGCGGUAAUUC
rnacentral:rRNA from 1 species